rnacentral:rRNA from 1 species
AGAGUUUGAUCCUGGCUCAGAGUGAACGUUGUCGGCGUGGAUUAGGCAUGCGAGUCGAGCGGCCCGCAAGGGCAGCGGCGAAAGGGACAGUAAUGCGUGGGAAUCUGCCUUCAGGCUCGGGAUAGCCGCGGGAAACUGCGGGUAAUACCGAAUAACGUCUCCGGACCAAAGGUGAGACUCCGCCUGAAGAUGAGCCCACGUCCUAUUAGCUAGUUGGCGGGGUAACGGCCCACCAAGGCAUCGAUGGGUAGCAGGUGUGAGAGCACGACCUGCGUCAUUGGGACUGAGAACUGCCCAGACGCCUACGGGCGGCUGCAGUCGAGGAUUUUUGGCAAUGGGCGCAAGCCUGACCAAGCGACGCCGAGUGCGGGAUGAAGGUUUUCGGAUUGUAAACCGCUUUUGACGGGGAUGAAAUGCCAGGGGGUACUCUCCUUGGUUUGACAUAUCUGUAGAAUAAGCGCAGGCUAAGCUCGUGCCAGCAGCCGCGGUAAUACGAGCUGUGCAAACGUUACUCGGAAUCAUUGGGCUUAAAGGGUGCGUAGGCGGCCUCGCAAGUCGGGUGUGAAAUGUCCUGGCUCAACCAGGGAAUUGCGCUCGAAACUGCGGGGCUCGAGGGAGAUAGAGGCAAGCGGAACUCAGGGUGGAGCGGUGAAAUGUGUUGAUAUCCUGGGGAACACCGGUGGCGAAAGCGGCUUGCUGGGUCUCUUCUGACGCUGAGGCACGAAAGCCAGGGUAGCGAACGGGAUUAGAUACCCCGGUAGUCCUGGCCGUAAACGAUGAGCACUGGACCGAAAGGGACUCCCAUAUCCUUUUGGUCGAACUGAAAAAGUUAAGUGCUCCGCCUGGGGAGUAUGGGCCGCAAGGCUGAAACUCAAAGGAAUUGACGG